rnacentral:rRNA from 1 species
UACAGAGGAGACAAGCGUUGUCCGGAUUGACUGGGCGUAAAGCGCACGCAGGCGGUUGCGCGCGGGGGGGGGGAAAUCUGGCCGCUUAACGGCCAGGCGCCAUCCCAUACGGCGCGACUGGAGGGCUGCAGAGGUCGAUGGAAUUGCCGGUGUAGUGGUGAAAUGCGUAGAGAUCGGCAGGAACACCCAGGGGGAAACCAGUCGACUGGGCAGCACCUGACGCUGAGGUGCGAGAGCGUGGGGAGCGAACCGG